UACGGAGGGUGCAAGCGUUAUCCGGAUUCACUGGGUUUAAAGGGUGCGUAGGUGGGCAGGUAAGUCAGUGGUGAAAUCUCCGGGCUUAACUCGGAAACUGCCAUUGAUACUAUCUGUCUUGAAUACCGUGGAGGUCAGCGGAAUAUGUCAUGUAGCGAUGAAAUGCUUAGAUAUGACAUAGAACACCAAUUGCGAAGGCAGCUGGCUACACGAAUAUUGACACUGAUGCACGAAAGCGUGGGGAUCAAACAGG
rnacentral:rRNA from 1 species